GCUUCCUUGGCUCAGUUGGUAGAGCGUCAGUCUCAUAAUCUGAAGGUCGCCAGUUCGAUCCUGGCAGGGAGCA